rnacentral:rRNA from 1 species
UACCUGGUUGAUCCUGCCAGUAGCAUAUGCUUGUUUCAAAGAUUAAGCCAUGCAUGUCUAAGUACGAGCCGCUCCGUCGGCGAAACCGCGAAUGGCUCAAUAAAUCAGUUAUGGUUCCUUAGAUCUUAACCAUCCUACUUGGAUAACUGUGGUAAUUCUAGAGCUAAUACAUGCACUCUAGCCCCGACUUUCGGUGGUGAUCCCGGCGACGGGUUCUCUUCUUUCGGAAGGAGGGGUGCUUUUAUUAGAUCAAAACCAAUCGCGGGUCGGCCGGCCUCAAAAACCGUCCCCCGCAACCUCACAUUGGUGACUCUGAAUAACUUUCGCCGAUCGCACGGUCUUUCGCGCCGGCGACGCAUCUUUCAAAUGUCUGCCUUAUCAACUUUCGAUGGUAGGUUAUGCGCCUACCAUGGUUGCAACGGGUAACGGGGAAUCGGGGUUCGAUUCCGGAGAGGGAGCCUGAGAAACGGCUACCACAUCCAAGGAAGGCAGCAGGCGCGCAAAUUACCCACUCCCGGCACGGGGAGGUAGUGACGAAAAAUAACGAUACGGGACUCUUCCGAGGCCCCGUGAUUGGAAUGAGUACACUUUAAAUCCUUUAACGAGGACCUAUUGGAGGGCAAGUCUGGUGCCAGCAGCCGCGGUAACUCCAGCUCCAAUAGCGUAUAUUAAAGUUGUUGCGGUUAAAAAGCUCGUAGUUGGAUUCCUGUCUUCGGCCGGGCCGGUGCCGUUCCUCAUCGUAGGGACGUUUCGCACUGCCUUGGGACGACGGCCUCAAAAACCGUCGUCUUUUAACGGCCGGACAAUACCGCCGGAGCGGCGGGGCUCAUGCGCGUUUCGGGUAGGCGUUUGCGUCGCAACGAUUCGCGUGCCCGCCCGUAAAUCGUUCGAGGUGCCCUUAACAAGGUGUCUCGGGCGGCCGGUAACGUUUACUUUGAACAAAUUAGAGUGCUCAAAGCAGGUGCAUACCCUUCGCCUGAAUAUCACAGCAUGGAAUGAUGGAAUAGGACCUCGGUCUUAUUUUGUUGGUUUUCUUUUCUUGAGACCCGAGGUAAUGGUUAAUAGAGACGGACGGGGGCAUUCGUACUGCGACGCUAGAGGUGAAAUUCUUGGACCGUCGCAAGACGAACGACUGCGAAAGCAUUUGCCAAGAAUGUUUUCAUUAAUCAAGAACGAAAGUUAGAGGUUCGAAGGCGAUCAGAUACCGCCCUAGUUCUAACCAUAAACGAUGCCGACCAGCGAUCCGCCGAAGUUACUCCCAUGACUCGGCGGGCAGCUUCCGGGAAACCAAAGUCUUUGGGUUCCGGGGGAAGUAUGGUUGCAAAGCUGAAACUUAAAGGAAUUGACGGAAGGGCACCACCAGGAGUGGAGCCUGCGGCUUAAUUUGACUCAACACGGGAAACCUCACCAGGCCCGGACACUGGAAGGAUUGACAGAUUGAGAGCUCUUUCUUGAUUCGGUGGGUGGUGGUGCAUGGCCGUUCUUAGUUGGUGGAGCGAUUUGUCUGGUUAAUUCCGAUAACGAACGAGACUCUAGCCUGCUAAAUAGGUGGCGGGUUUUGUGUCUCUUCUUCUCUUUCGGGAGUUGAAGAGCACGUUUAAGGGUUCGGUGUUCGCUGGGAUCAGGGCGGGCUUCGGAGUCCGUUCCGGCGGGAGUCGGGAGAGGUUGAGGCANNNNNNNNNNNNNNNNNNNNNNNNNNNNNNNNNNNNNUUUCCUCUGUCGGCUUUCCACGGGGCGGUUCCGAGGUCUUAGCUCCCCGGCGGUCCGCACCGUUCUCGCGUCCGUCACGAUUUCUUCUUAGAGGGACAAGCGGCGUCCAGCCGCGUGACAGUGAGCAAUAACAGGUCUGUGAUGCCCUUAGAUGUCCUGGGCCGCACGCGCGCUACACUGAAGGAAUCAGCGUGUCUUUCUCCCCCUGUCCGAAAGGACCGGGUAACCGCUGAACCUCCUUCGUGGUUGGGAUUGGGGACUGCAAUGAUCCCCAUGAACCAGGAAUCCCUAGUAGGCGCGAGUCACUAGCUCGCGUCGAUUACGUCCCUGCCCUUUGUACACACCGCCCGUCGCUACUACCGAUUGAAUGAUUUAGUGAGGCCUUCGGACGGGCUCGUCGGGGGUUUCUCUGCUCCGUCCGGUUUCGGCCGGGCGGGCGCGGAGGCUCUAAAUUAACGACGGGACUGAAAGAUGGUCGAACUUGAUCCUUUAGAGGAAGUAAAAGUCGUAACAAGGUUUCCGUAGGUGAACCUGCAGAUGGAUCAUUA